rnacentral:siRNA from 1 species
AGGAACAAUGCUGAGUCGAAUCC